AUUGUGGAUAGAAAAGAUCAGGUACUCCGACAUCAAACCAUUCCUUUUGUGAAGGUGCAAUAAAACAAUCAUACGGAAAGAGAGGCUACCUGAGAGCUCGAAAAAGAGAUGAAGGUCAAGCAUCCAUAGCUUUUUGAAACCUCAGGUAUGUCAAUUUCGAGGACGAAAUUUUUUUUUUUGGAGGGGAGAAUGUGAAGGCCCAUAUUUGAGUUGGGCCGGCCCUUGAGCAAGGGCGGCCCAACGAGUGCAAGGGGGAGGGAGUCUCCCGAUUGAAACACCCUCCCUCCCCUGUUUUUCGGAAUUCCUCCUCCCCCUCCUCCCGAAUCCACCGGAGGGGAGGUUAUAGGGUGAUAAAACCCUACCAAAUCAGGCCAAGGAUCUCCUCCCUCCCUUCCUAGGGCAUCAACCGAGAGCCUCCCACAAACCAAAAAAAAAAAAAAAAAAAAGAAGAGGGAAGAUUGGGGUUCUAGCUUGCCGCGGAAGGGAUCGGGCCAUCGCCGUCGAUCCGGUCGGGAGGAUCUCGCCGGAAGCAAGGGGAACAAUUUGUUGGACGAGAGGAUGCUGAGCAGAGUCCUGCGCACCUCUCGAUUCAUAGAUCGCCGUGAGAGUGGGUGGUUCGUCUGUUUGAGUUUUCAACAAAAGAGUUGCAGGAUGCAUAGAUUUGGAUGGGAUGGGCGCAG